rnacentral:ncRNA from 1 species
UAAAAGUUUGAUUUUAGCUUAAAUAUUUAGUUAAUGAUUAUUUUGCAUGUAAAUUUUUGUGAGAUUAGUAUUAUUUUUAAAUAAUUUAAUAUAAUAAUUUUAUUUGCAGCAAUUAAUUUUAAUAAUUAAAUAAUUUUAGAAUUAUUAAUUAUUUUAAUAUAAGCAAAUUUUGUGCCAGCGGCUGCGGUUAAACAAAUUAUAUAAUUAAAUAUCUAUUAAUUUACAAUUUUUAUUAAUUUAUUUAAAUUUAAUUAAAUUAAAAAUUAAGUGAAAUUUUUUUUAAUUAUUAAGAAUUUAAAAGUAUUUAUUUAAAUUGUAAGCUCUAAAAUUUAAACUAGGAUUAGAUACCCUAUUAUUUUAGAAUUAAAAAUAAAAAUUUUAGGGAUUAAUAGUUAUAUUCUUUAAACUUAAAGAAAUUGGCGGUAUUUAAAACUAAUUAGGGGAAUUUGUUUUUUAAUCGUUAAUACUCAAAAAACCUUACUUUAAUUUUUUAUUUGUUUAUUGUCGUUAUCAAAAUAUUUUAAUAGAAUAAUUAAUUUUUAAUAAUUUUUAUUUAAAAAUUUAUUUCAGAUCAUGAUGCAGUUUAUAUUAAAGUUAAAAUUAAUUACAAUAAAUUUUAUUUAAAUGGAUAUAUAAUUGAAAUAUUAUAUUAGAAAGUGGACUUAAUAGUAAAAUUAUUUAAUUAUGUUAAUUUGAAUUUAGAAUUAAAUAUGUACAAAUUGCCCGUCACUCUCGUUUUAAAAUGAGAUAAGUCGUAACAAAGUAAGUGUAUUGGAAAAUGUGCUUAGUUAUUUU